rnacentral:rRNA from 1 species
UGAGGAAUUUUCCACAAUGGGCGAAAGCCUGAUGGAGCGACGCCGCGUGAAGGAUGAAGGUUUUCGGACUGUAAACUUCUUUUAUAUGGGAAGAUUAUGACUGUACCAUAUGAAUAAGCACCGGCUAACUACGUGCCAGCAGCCGCGGUAAUACGUAGGGUGCAAGCGUUAUCCGGAAUUACUGGGCGUAAAGAGUUUGUAGGCGGACUUUUAAGUCGAGUGUUAAAUAUGCGGGCUCAACUCGCAUGCUGCACUCGAUACUGGGAGUCUUGAGAGUGGAAGAGGUAAGCGGAAUUUCCGGUGGAGCGGUAAAAUGCGUAGAUUUCGGAAAGAACACCAAUGGCGAAGGCAGCUUACUGGGCCAUUUCUGACGCUGAGAAACGAAAGCGUGGGGAGCGAUCG